GUUCUUUUGUUUAAAUAAAAGAUCUAACCUGCCCAAUGAGAAAUUUAAUGGCUGCGGUAUUUUGACUGUACAAAGGUAGCAUAAUCAUUUGUCUUUUAAUUGAAGUCUGGAAUGAAUGGUUUGAUGAAAAAUUUACUUUCUUUAUUUUAAAAAAAUAAUUUAAUUUUUUAAUUAAAAAGUUAAAAUUUUAAUAGAGGACGAGAAGACCCUAUAGAACUUUAUUUUGAUAAAAAAGAUAGUAUUUUGAUAAUUAAUUUUCGUCUUUUUUUAGGAAUUUUGUUGGGGUGAUGGAAAAAAUUAUUUAACUUUUUUUUGUUUUAUCAUUAAUUUAUGGUUUUUUGAUCCUUUUUUAUGGAUAAUAAGAUUAAGUUACCUUAGGGAUAACAGCGUUAUUAUUUUAGAAAGUUCAUAUUGAUAAAAUAGUUUGCGACCUCGAUGUUGGAUUAAAAUAAGUUUCAGGAGUAGAAUAUUGAAAAUCUAGGUCUGUUCGACCUUUAAAUUUUUACA
rnacentral:rRNA from 1 species